AUAUCGGCAAAACCGUUGUGAGACGGUGACGCAAAGCCAAGGGACUUAUCCUGUUCGGGUAAGUCAGCCCGGUUGC
rnacentral:ncRNA from 1 species